GAUGAACGCUGGCGGCGUGCCUAAUACAUGCCAGUCGAGCGAACGGACGAGAAGCUUGCUUCUCUGAUGUUAGCGGCGGACGGGUGAGUAACACGUGGAUAACCUACCUAUAAGACUGGGAUAACUUCGGGAAACCGGAGCUAAUACCGGAUGAUAUUUUGAACCGCAUGGUUCAAAAGUGAAAGACGGUCUUGCUGUCACUUAUAGAUGGAUCCGCGCUGCAUUAGCUAGUUGGUAAGGUAACGGCUUACCAAGGCAACGAUGCAUAGCCGACCUGAGAGGGUGAUCGGCCACACUGGAACUGAGACACGGUCCAGACUCCUACGGGAGGCAGCAGAAGGGAAUCUUCCGCAAUGGGCGAGAGCCUGACGGAGCAACGCCGCGUGAGUGAUGAAGGUCUUCGGAUCGUAAAACUCUGUUAUUAGGGAAGAACAGAUGUGUAAGUAACUGUGCACAUCUUGACGGUACCUAAUCAGAAAGCCACGGCUAACUACGUG
rnacentral:rRNA from 1 species